UCGAACGGGGAUUACACGGUGAUGCGAUUUCGGUCAAAUCAAGUGCAAUCUUAGUGGCGGACGGGUGAGUAACGCGUGGGUAACCUGCCUUGCACUGGGGGAUAACACUUAGAAAUAGGUGCUAAUACCGCAUAAGCGCACGGUCCUGCAUGGGACAGUGUGAAAAACUCCGGUGGUGCAAGAUGGACCCGCGUCUGAUUAGCUGGUUGGCGGGGUAAAGGCCCACCAAGGCGACGAUCAGUAGCCGGCCUGAGAGGGUGGACGGCCACAUUGGGACUGAGACACGGCCCAAACUCCUACGGGAGGCAGCAGUGGGGGAUAUUGGACAAUGGGGGGAACCCUGAUCCAGCGACGCCGCGUGAGUGAAGAAGUAUUUCGGUAUGUAAAGCUCUGUCAGCAGGGAAGAAAGCAAUGACGGUACCUGACCAAGAAGCCCCGGCUAACUACGUGCCAGCAGCCGCGGUAAUACGUAGGGGGCAAGCGUUAUCCGGAAUUACUGGGUGUAAAGGGAGCGUAGACGGUGCAGCAAGUCUGAUGUGAAAGGUCGGGGCCCAACCCCGGGACUGCAUUGGAAACUGUUGAACUGGAGUACAGGAGAGGUAAGCGGAAUUCCUAGUGUAGCGGUGAAAUGC
rnacentral:rRNA from 1 species